GAGAGAGAGAGAGAGUAAGAGUAAAAGGAAGAGAGAAUGACAACAAUUGCAUGACAGUCCUAGCAGCAUCCCUCCAUAGUCCAUAUAGACAGCACUCACCCAAUCCUGAAUUUCUACUGUAUUCGUUAAGUUAGGUUUACCUAGUUUAUACCCCCUACUGGAGCACUAGAAGUUCUAAAAAGACUUCAAAAGCUUAUACAACUGCCAUAACCAUUUUAACAAAUUUAGGAGAACAAAAUGCAUCACAAGAAAUUGAGAAUACAAAAGAAAAGGGAAACUAAGAGCUUAAUAGAAAUUAAAAUACAUAUACCUGAUUCAGAACAUAGUAGACUCUGAAGCGGUUAGGAAAAUUGUUUGCAAGGUCAUCCAGCUCUUCCUUUAAAAGAAUGUCCUCGUAUGUGACAUUGGCAUAAAUAAGAUGUACAUUGGUCUUGUCAUUGGGAUUUUCCACUAUGGCCCUAGUAACUUGGAACAUUGGAGUUAUUCCAGUACCCCCAGCAAGCAUCCCAAAAGCUCUAACUUGGUUAGGUUGAUACUUGAAGCGCCCCUUGGGUCCCUUCACAGCCAAGUAAUCACCUUCACACAUCUCUCGAAAAUGGUGGGACAUCCUUCCUUGUGGAUACAUCUUUAUAACUAGUUCAAAGUAACCAAGAUCAGAGUCCAAAGUUGUGGGAGUAUAUGGCUUGAUAACUUCUUCACCAAGACUGUCUUUUCCUCUGCAACUCAUAUGUUGUCCAAUUGGUAGUCCCAAUACCGAAGUUGGUGUGGGAAGAGCAAAUUUAAACUUAGCUACAUUAUGACUGAGUUGGGUGCGCUUAACAAGUUUGAAUUCCUUGAAGUUUUCAGGGUCCAAGCAACCUUUAGGUUUCUUGGUGGUGAUAUAGAAAUAGUAGGCGGUUCCCGCACCGAUGGCCAAGAGUGCGACGGCGAUGCUUAUCAUCUCCGCCUUGUGAGACUUAAAACUCUCCAUUUCUGGAACACAGAGAGAAACAAACGUUUCAGCACUGGAGGUUUUUAAUUUCCCCUUCUCGCUCUUCCUUCCUCGACGGAUUCAAGACCAUUUAGUAGCAAGUAGCAACUGUUCAUAUAGGCUCACAACUAUUUUA
rnacentral:misc_RNA from 1 species